GACGAACGCUGGCGGCGUGCCUAAUACAUGCAAGUCGAACGCAGUGGGGACGGGUGAGUAACACGUGGGUAACCUCCCAUCAGAGGGGAGAACACUUGGAAACAGGUGCUAAACCGAUACUGAUGGAUGGACCCGCUGUGCAUUAGCUAGUUGGUGAGGUAACGGCUCACCAAGGCCACGAGGCAUAGCCGACCUGAGAGGGUGGUCUGCCACACUGGGACUGGGACACGGCCCAGACUCCUACGGGAGGCAGCAGUAGGGAAUAUUCCGCAAUGGACGAAAGUCUGACCGAGGAAUGCCGCGUGAGUGAAGAAGGUUUUCGGUUCGUAAAACUCUUUUGUUAGUGAAGCGUUAUCUAACCAGAAAGCCCCGGCUAACUACGUGCCAGCAGCCGCGGUAAUAC
rnacentral:rRNA from 1 species